GAUGAACGCUGGCGGCGUGCCUAAUACAUGCAAGUCGAGCGAACAGACGAGGAGCUUGCUCCUCUGACGUUAGCGGCGGACGGGUGAGUAACACGUUGAUAACCUACCUAUAAGACUGGGAUAACUUCGGGAAACCUUAGCUAAUACCGGAUAACAUGUUGAACCGCAUGGUUCAACAGUGAAAGACGGUCUUGCUGUCACUUAUAGAUGGAUCCGCGCCGCAUUAGCUAGUUGGUAAGGUAACGGCUUACCAAGGCAACGAUGCGUAGCCGACCUGAGAGGGUGAUCGGCCACACUGGAACUGAGACACGGUCCAGACUCCUACGGGAGGCAGCAGUAGGGAAUCUUCCGCAAUGGGCGAAAGCCUGACGGAGCAACGCCGCGUGAGUGAAGAAGGUCUUCGGAUCGUAAAACUCUGUUAUUAGGGAAGAAAAAAUGUGUAAGUAACUAUGCACGUCUUGACGGUACCUAAUCAGAAAGCCACGGCUAACUACGUG
rnacentral:rRNA from 1 species